rnacentral:rRNA from 1 species
ACAUGCUUACAACAUAGUGUUAAUGCACCAAAUCCCAUUAGAACUCUGCAGUUAAGUGCACUCGGGCUAGAGUAGUACUACGAUGGGUGAUCUCCCGAGAAGUCCUAGUGUUUUACAUGCC